GGAUCUUAAAUUUUAAAAUAUUUUCAGUCCUAGGCCAGGCCCAAAGCCCCCAAAAAAUAUUUUGUGCCAGGCUUGGGUAGGGGUAUGGCCUGGUCUGGCCCAGCCUGGCCCAUUUCCAGCCCAAGAGAGAGAGAGAGGGUUAACUAUAUUUCACCUUUCUUGUUUGAUGAAGUUUCCAAAGACAACCAUCAUCUUGAUAUAUUGACUGAGCCACUAUCUCCCAGCAAGAAGUUGGGCCAUUUGGAGGAAU
rnacentral:lncRNA from 1 species